AAAAUGCUAGUUAAACCAUAACAUUAAACUGUCAAAUUAAAAUUACUAAAGUGCAUUUUA
rnacentral:tRNA from 1 species